AAAAACCAAAAAAAACCACAAAAAACACCACAUGCUCUACUAACUGAGCCAGCCAGGCACUCCAAGCCCAAGCCCACAAGUUUUUAAGCUUUCUUUCCCAUACUGGCUUCAAGCAGCGCUUUCCUUUAACUGACUGGUCUUGACUGACUAGUCUUGAUCAAAGAGGUAAUCCUUGCACUGGGGGACUGAUGUUUGUCUCUGAGACUACUUAGAAUGGUUCUCCUCUGAGGUGAUCUCCUGACUGUGAAGCUGGCAUUUAGAAAACCAUCUACCUGAGUGCUCAAGCUCACAUUCCCACAUGUCCAGACGGGUGCAGCAGUUCUGCAUUCUGAAGACCCACCCAUCUGUAGAGGAGCUAAAAAGUUCAACCCACCCAGGAUUCUGGAUUUUAUUAUUGGCCCAGAGUUAUUUUUAAGUUUUCAUUUAUAAUAGUCACAGCAAAUUUUAAAGAUGCAAAUCUCAACACCAGGGUUGCAAACUGAUGGCUCCCAGGAUGCAUCUGGCUUGCAGACUGGUCCCUAGAAGGAAACAUGACCCCUGGACUCUACUGCCACCUUAAUGCCACCACCUGUAUUUGAUUUAUGCUUUUUUUUUCACUAUUAAUAAAUACGGGGUUUUUUCAUUAGUUCCAGUUUUAUUGAGAAAUAAUUGACAUAACACUGUAAGUUUACGGUGUACAACACAAUGAUUUAAUAUAUGUAUAUACUGCAGAAUGAUUACCACAAGAUUAGUUAAUAUCUCACAUAGUUCUGAUUUUUUUCUUGUGAAAACUUUUAAGAUCUACUCUCUAGCAACUUUCAAAUACAGAGUACAGUACUGUAAACUAUAGUCAUUCUGUUCUACAGUGAAGUUUUUACCUUUUGACCACCUUCACCUAGUUCCUACUUUAUACUUUUCAAAAUACUUUCUUGUAGCAAAACUUGGGCCUCAAAGCUACCACUGUGUUCUUAGUUCACUGAGGGACAGUUAAACCACUUUGGGCAAAACAUACCUGGGGGAGCCACAAAAUACUCCUCCACAACUCGAUGGGCAUUUUGUAGUAGUUCUUCAACACAGUUGCCUUCUACCACAUUGUCAGAUCUCAAGUACAGACAUCUACAAAAUCAGAAGCUCAAGGUUACCUUCUCAGAGAAUAGGCUUCUAGAGCAUGGGUGGAGAGGGUCAAGAAUGGAAAAAAUGGAGCAGCAUAUUCUUGAGUUGUGGUUACUGUUCAAAGAUAGAGGACUAGUCAACAGUAGACCAAAUAACAAUCUGCAGUUGAUAGAUUCUCUCAACCACUCAGUGAGGUAAGUGAUAAUUAUUCCUCAGGACUGAUAUGUUCAACCAUGGGUAAGUUGCUUUUGGUGAAGACAGGUAAGGCAAUUACAAUAAAAUGUGUUAAAUCUAACAGGUAAGCAAAGCUUGCCAAGGGAAUAGAAAGGGGCACCUAAUCUAGCCUGGGUGAGGAACAGACAUUCAGAAUAGGUGAUGUCACUGCUAAAGGAUGGGCAAGAAACCACUGGAUUGUUGGGAUGGGAAAUGGGCUUCCAGGCUGGUGAAGAAACUUGCUCAAGAGUGGUUAUUAGUGGCUUAAGGAUAUUAGCUCCUAAGUGACAGGAUGGAGUCUGAGCACAGUUCUGUACCCCUUGUACCCAUAAGAUGAGUUUUUUCACUGUAGCCACCUUUAUGAAUAUGAAAGUAUCUGCCCUUACAUAGCUCAAGAAUCUCCCACUGUUCUCUGGGCCUCAUGGCUUCAUUAAAGUAUCCAAAUGGCAGGCUAGUGAAACCAAACUGGAAUUGAACAUAUCUAUGGGGCUUCGCUGCCGUUUGAAGGUUUACAAGUGCAUGGCAAAAUGUCUGAGUCUGCUUCUAGAUACUUGAGCUGAAAAAUAAGCAGUCUCUCUGCUCAAUCACUGAUAGGGGAGCAGGCAAACUCGUUCCACUUUGAGCCAGACAUAGACUGAGGGCUAAGCCUAACAGGACAAAAGGGCAAGGACAUUACAUGAACAUCCAGGCAAAGGCUGCAGAGGGCUAAGUUGUCAUGAUAAGGUUCUUCUAGGAAAGGCCUAGUUCUGUUUCUUUUGUGGCACUUACCCUAGGGCUAGACACAAUAAACAUGGUAUGGACCGGACAGAGCUGGAGUCUGUUCCAGGAUCUGGCACUAUCUUAACUGUGUGGCCUUGAAUAAGAAUGAUCUUUCCAGACCUUCACUUUCUUGCCAGAAAAAUGAAGGUUGCACUUGAUUUUUUUUUUUUUAAACCAUACAGGGGCUUAAGAAAACUUGGAGAACAAAAUAAAAAUUAUCUGUAAAGGUAACCACUGGACCUUCUGGAGUUUAUAUUUCUGUUGGGUGGUAUAACAAAAUGACUCAGGGCUCCUGAGUCAGCUGAAUUCAAAUCUUAGUGCCACACAUGGCACAUGGGCAAGUUACCCUCUCCGUGUACCUGUUUCCUUAUUUGUGGAAUGCUACAUAGAAUUGCUGGGGAGAUUAAAUAUUAAAGAAGAUCUGAUAAUGCUGGGCCUGCAUUUUCACCACGGUAAGAGGUGGGUGCCGAAUAGCACCUGCUCCUUUCAGAAAGAAUUAGUGCACACA